GACGAACGCUGGCGGCGUGCCUAAUACAUGCAAGUAGGACGCAGUUGCGAACGGGUGAGUAACGCGUAGGUAACUACCUAUUAGAGGGGGAUAACUAUUGGAAACGAGAGCUAAUACCGCAUACUAGUAGAUGGACCUGCGGUGUAUUAGCUAGUAGGUGGGGUAAUGGCCUACCUAGGCAACGAAACAUAGCCGACCUGGGAGGGGGAUCGGCCACACUGGGACUGGGACACGGCCCAGACUCCUACGUGAGUCAGCGGUAGGGAUGCUUCGGCAAUGGGGGGAAACCUGACCGAGCAACGCCGCGUUAGUGAAGAAGGUUUUCGGAUCGUAAAGCUCUGUUGUUAAGGAAGCGGUACUUAACCAGAAAGGGACGGCUAACUACGUGCCAGCAGCCGCGGUAAUAC
rnacentral:rRNA from 1 species